CCUGCAUGAUCUGUGGAUAUGUCAUAUGUAUAGUCACUUUGCUCAUGGGACCCCAGUAGGAGGCCAAUGGCUGUAGAGGCCCUCCAACAUUCAAAUGCGCAGUAUGCUAUCAAGUCAUCAGCUGUCAAAUAUUGGCAGAGUGGUUCUCUUUCUAUUUGUAUGUUUUCUUGAAAAGAUCUUGGCUGCAGGUUGGACAUGAGAUGCAGGUAGCAUUCUACCUCAUCCAGAAGUAUGUUGAUAUGCAAUCUAUUGGAACUAAAUUAUAGAUAAUAUCUGCAUUUUCUGUUGAGCAUGUGAAAGGUUAUAUUUAUAUUGAAGCUGAUAGGGAACGUGAUGUCGUUGAGGUAUGUAAAGGGCUUUGUAGUAUAUAUUCUAGUAGAGUGGUGCUGGUUCCCAAAAAUGAAGUUUUGUAUCUGCUUUCUCUUCAAAUCAAAUCAAGUGAAUUUUCUAAGGGCACAUGGGUCCGCGUGAAGUAUGGGAAAUACAAAGGGGACCUUGCACAUGUUGUGGCUAUUGAUGAUGCAUGGAAGAGGCCACCGUAAAGCUGAUUCCAAGGAUCGAUCUCCAAGCCAUGGCACAAAAAUAUAGAAAUAAGGCGUGGGUUUUCAUUUACCCCAAAAAUAUAUGAGGAUUUUAAUCAAUUUUGCCUGAAUUUAGGCCUACAAGCACUUCAGCCUUUUGACGCCACUCGUGUUACGAGUAGACCAUAUAGAGAAUUUGUUUUUAUUUAUUUGAGACCAUUUUUAAUUUAUUGUAAUAAAUAUUAUAUUUUUUUUAUUAUGAAGUAAUAUAAAUUUUAUUUAAUAUUCAGUUUUAA